UAAUAAUAUCCUGAAAAGCACCCCACGCGGUUUUUUACAAUAAAAUCAUUUUUUCUUACACUAUUUUUAAUUCAAAUUUAUUAAAAUUUAUUUUCUAUUUUUUAGUUGGAUUUUCAAUAAAAGCAUAUUUUGGUAGUUUUUUUAAACUAUUAUUUAUUUUUCAUUUUUUAGUUGAAUUUCAUUUUUUCAAUAUUUUUUUUAAUAAUGAAUUGUCAUCGGUCCUUAAUAAGUAUACCAAAUUUUGAGUUAAUCCGACGUUUUGAAGGGGGUCAAAAUCAUGUUCAAAGAUUCCAAGAAGAAGAAGGGUCGUCGUACCCCCUUUCGGGGGCACGGAACGGGCCUCGGGGCAAACCCCACUGCCCGGAACGAAGCUCCCUGCCACACAGGGCAGGGGUGAAGUGUUUGCAAGACGGGAUUAGGGGGAGCUGUUCGUAUGCGUGCUCGGCACACUCACAUCGACAAAAUAAUAAA